UAAAAAAUCCUAUCACGUCUCCUGUC
rnacentral:piRNA from 1 species